UGAACGCUGGCGGCGUACCUAAUACAUGCAAGUCGAGCGAACAGACGAGGAGCUUGCUCCUCUGACGUUAGCGGCGGACGGGUGAGUAACACGUGGAUAACCUACCUAUAAGACUGGGAUAACUUCGGGAAACCGGAGCUAAUACCGGAUAAUAUAUUGAACCGCAUGGUUCCAUAGUGAAAGACGGUUUUGCUGUCACUUAUAGAUGGAUCCGCGCCGCAUUAGCUAGUUGGUAAGGUAACGGCUUACCAAGGCAACGAUGCGUAGCCGACCUGAGAGGGUGAUCGGCCACACUGGAACUGAGACACGGUCCAGACUCCUACGGGAGGCAGCAGUAGGGAAUCUUCCGCAAUGGGCGAAAGCCUGACGGAGCAACGCCGCGUGAGUGAUGAAGGUCUUCGGAUCGUAAAACUCUGUUAUUAGGGAAGAACAAAUGUGUAAGUAACUAUGCACGUCUUGACGGUACCUAAUCAGAAAGCCACGGCUAACUACGUG
rnacentral:rRNA from 1 species